rnacentral:misc_RNA from 1 species
AAGUCGUAACAAGGUUUCCGUAGGUGAACCUGCGGAAGGAUCAUUAUUGAUUUUAGCUAACCAUGGCUAUUUUAGCCAUGGUUAUGCGAAAUAUUGUAUUUAAAACCCCACUCUUUAUAAUAAAAAUUUUUAUUAUAUUUAUGAUAAAAAUAAGAUCACUUUCAACAACGGAUCUCUUGGCUCUC